rnacentral:rRNA from 1 species
AUUGAACGCUAGCGGGAUGCUUUACACAUGCACGUCGAACGAGUGGCGGACGGGUGAGUAAUAUAUCGGAACGUGCCCAGUAGCGGGGGAUAACUACGCGAAAGAGUGGCUAAUACCGCAUACUCAUGGAGCGACCGAUAUCGGAUUAGCUAGUUGGUGGGGUAAAGGCUAACCAAGUCAACGAUCCGUAGCUGGUUUGCGGGGACGACCAGCCACACUGGGACUGAGACACGGCCCAGACUCCUACGGGAGGCAGCAGUGGGGAAUAUUGGACAAUGGGGGAAACCCUGAUGCAGCCAUCCCGCUUGUAUGAGAAGGCCUUCGGGUUGUAAAGUACUUUUGUCAGAGAAGCGGUAUCUGCAGAAUAAGCACCGGCUAACUACGUGCCAGCAGCCGCGGUAAUAC